rnacentral:rRNA from 1 species
AGGAUCAACGCUGGCGGCGUGCCUAAUGCAUGCAAGUCGAACGUGGCGCUUUCGGGCGUGCGCGUGGCGGACGGGUGAGGAACACGUGGGAAACCUGCCUUUUGGUGGGGGGUAGCCCUCGGAAACGGGGGGUAAUUCCGCAUGAGCUCAUAUCUCGAUGGGGGGUAUGAGGAAAGGCUCUUUGUGAGUCGCCGAAAGAGGGUCCUGCGGCCGAUUAGCUAGACGGUGGGUAACGCCUACCGUGGCGAUGAUCGGUAGCUGGUCUGAGAGGACGGCCAGCCACGAGGGGAACUGAGAUACCGGUCCCCCACGUCCGUACGGGAGCAGCAGCAAGGACUUUCCGCAAGUGGGACGAAAGCCUGACGGAGACCAACGCCGCGGUGGGGACACGACCGUUCGGGACCGUUAACCCUUUCGU